CGACUUUAACAAAUCUGUUCCUCAGUACCAAAUUACCAAUAACAAUGGAAUUUGAUAUGGGGAACAUUGGUGGUUAUGAGGUGACUUUAUUUGGCCUAAUAUCAAGUUGGAACUAUAUUGAAGAUUGUAAAGUUCAAAUGCAAUCAAUUAGUGUCAUAUCUUAUUAAUGUGUUCCUAGCCUCAAUUCUAAUUCUGUUUUCUUGUUGGGAUGGCUGCAAUCUAUGACUGAAGCUCUUUAAAUCAUUCACAAAAUUCAAAUCUGACAAUUUUUUAAAUGGACAAAGAUAGCUUACUUUUAUACAAUGGUCAACUUUACAAGGGUGCAAUUGGGUAUUCCAGCAGAAUUUGUUUGCAGAUUGACACUCGCAAUGAUGUUCCCUGUGUCAGUUGCAGCUCCUGCAGUGGUUGUCCCUAGACAAGUGAGCUUUCGCCAAAGGUGAUAUAAUUGAAUACAAUCAUCAGAUGCCAGCUGUUCCAGUCAGAACAACCAGUGCUCUUACACUUUCCAGUAUGGAGAUGGUAGUGGGACAUGAGGCUAUUACGUGCCAGACAUGAUGCAUUUGAAUGUUGUUCUUGAGGGUUCUUUGACGACAAAUUCUUCAGUGCAUGUAGUUUUUAGGUAAAAUUGCUAUUUUUUGAUAUACUGUCAAACUUAUAUUUCUUUUGGUGGUUUUUAAGUAAACAAUGUAUAUAUGCUAAUAUGUACAUAUAUAAAUAAUUC